GUCCUCGUCGUAUAAUGGAUAAGACAUCGCCCUCCGAAGGCGGAAAUGCAGGUUCGAUUCCUGCCGAGGACA
rnacentral:tRNA from 1 species